UGUGUAGAAGGUUACAUAUGCAAGUUUGAACUUUUCUUCUGUGGUGUAUAUAUAACAGACUGAUUAUUUAAGUCCAUACUCCGCUUUGUACCUUUCACCCUUUACAACUAUAUAUGCACUAAGGCAGGGCAGUUUAAGAACACCCUCGCUCUCUAUUAUACUUCCAUCAGUUUGCACAAUUAUUGGUCAGUGGGCUGUUGUGUACCUGCUCUUGAUGAACUGAAAACCCAAAGCGCCGCUCGCUUAUGUUGUAAGAACUGGGGGCCAAACCCUUCUGCUUUUUACUGUAUCGUAAAGGUUUUGUUUCUGUAUAUACAUGUAUAUAUAAGCAAUAAAAUAUGUUUAAACUAACCCAAAGCGCCGAGUGCCAACUAUCCCAACAGGGGAGAGUGUAGUGUCCUCCCCAUCUAGAGGAUGGUAGUUGUAUCCCUUGACAAGCUCUACAUUUAAAAUGUUUUUCAUACUGAUUGCCUGAAUACAGGAUGUGUAAAAUUUGUGUGUGGAAGUUGAAAGUUACAGGAAACAAAUUAGUACUAGUCGGGAACACUGGACCAGGUGCAUGACAUACAUUGGAAGAGAUAAAAAUAACUGGUUUCCCACAAGUUAGUAUAAAAGUAGCUGAGCUCAUUUCAAGACAGGAGUGUCUUAAAUGUAGGCGAAUAGAAUAUCUAUAUUCCCACUUGUGUAAUUAUUUCAUCAUUCUUUUUGCGGUUAAGCAGAAUGAUUGAAGCUUUAUAAAUAAAAGCAAAGUUACUACUUACAAAGUACUUAAAACUGCACCAAAACAUCGAAUGAUAUUUAACCUCUGUUCCUAUUAUUUUAAGUACUGAACAGUUCAGUUAAAAGAAAAUUACUGUGUUGGGGAUGGGGGUCUCAAGAACCAAAACUAUCUUGGGUAUGACAGUGAUGUGGUGGUUAUGUUAAGAAAGUUAUGUUUCAUGUACUUUACAGUAUGUUUAGUUCUAAACGUAACAAGAGUUGUUUUGUUCUGGGCAGAAAUAUCUUUGAAAUAUUUUGUUUUAGUUAUUCUGAUGUACCAUCCCAUUCUGGUCAUUUUUGAUUGCACAGAAGUAUACUGAACCUAUAGUUGUGGUUACUUCUUUGAAGUGAUAAAAUCGAGGAUUGAUGAAAGUGUGAAUUAAGUACUUGCAUACAUGUUGUCCCAUCUUGGAUUUGACAUUGUGCUUUACUCAUCCUACAUGCAUGUUUAAAGUUUCGCAGUCUCAUUUCAUAUCGGCUCAUAUCCUAUGGACCCCACUUCCACCCUUAUCCCACCUCGCUGUUACUUCUUCUUAUUAUAAAUUGUCUUCUUUUAAAAAUAUUGUGAUUCGCAGAAUUGUUCCUUGAGUUUUUGGCAGUUUUUAAAGCAUUUGAACAGAGCUGGGACCCAGAAGCAUUUAAAUGUUUAACAACUAACACUUAUCUCUAUAACUUUCAGAAGGCAGUGGAAUGGAUUCCCAGUUUACUUGUUUGAGCACUAUCUGUUUUGUUAUCAACAAGCGCUUGCAUGUUGAAAGGUUUCUGCAGAAACCACAUGAAAACCUGGAUUUAUUUUGGAUUUAAGUUGAAUAUUUUGAAGUAGAUAAGGCUUCCCUAAUCGCAGAAACCCACUGGGAUUUGAAGUGUGUUAGCUAAGAUUUGGUUAGAUCUAUCAAUAACAGUAUAAUAACUGUUACAUUCAGUACUUUGAAGGUCAUUUAAUUUUUAUCAUUCACCUUAACACUGUAAGUGGAAAACCCACCAGUGUAAGUAGUGCCUUGUAAUGCAAUUAAGAAAUACUUUGACAUGGUCUGUCGUACAUUUUCUAUUUAUCCAUCUUGCACCACUGAUCUAUGUUGGGACAUUAUCAGUUCCUUGUAGAGAACACUGACUUUCUGUUUGUCAAGGAACACUGCUUGUACAGUGCCAUGGCCUGGGAAUACAAUCCAGUUUCCAUGGUUUUAUGACUUAAAUACUGUUGAAAUGGACAUUAAAUGUAGUGAAAUACAAUUUUUUGGCUCAGUUAUAGAUUUUGACAAUUUUCUGUUUACAAAGAAACUUAAAGGGUAAAAAGAAUCCGUGAUUGAGACAACACCUUUGUGCCCAAGUGGUAACUGGUUAAAAUUUAACAUAGAUACAGUUUAUGAAAAAGCGAUAUAUGCCCAAACUUUGGGGUUGUUUGUGAUUUUAAAAGUCCAAGGUUGAUUUUAAUGAGGUUAACUGAAUCUCUUAAACACCCAG